CCUCUCCCCACCUCCAACAGCGCGUUUAGCUGUGUGGCCAGUGAUCCAAUCACCUUUCGAAAUCCCCCAGAAGAUUUGAGGGAAGUUCAGAUCUAAACCAGAACAACCUCUUCUUGUGCAUUCUGCCAGUCUGCUCCCGGAGCCGGGCCUGCAUGUGGACCUGCAGCGAGGGGCCAGGAGCCCUGGGUGCUGAAGGUGAGGAGCUCCCAGCACCGACACCAGUUGGGCAGUUGCCUUGAAGAAGAGACGAGAACUGUGACCCAGACGUGCAGUUCCUGGUCGUGAACCGCAGCUGUCGGUUGCAGACUGCAAUUACCCAGCAGACAGAGAAGCCGUUUAAGAGUGCAGCUGACGCCAGACGCGGAGCAGCAAGUGUUGGCCGGCUCCAUGACGUCAGCGGAUCAGCACUCCUUUGAAGGU
ensembl:lncRNA